GUACUUGCUUUCGCAGCACAUAUACUAAAAUUGGACACUACAGAGAAGAUUAGCAUGACUCCUGCACAAAGAUGACAUGUAAAUUUUCCAUAUUUAAAAAAAAAUU
rnacentral:snRNA from 1 species